CUGCUGCAUGACAUGCCCAGGGAAGAAGCACCCCCGAGUGGUACAACAUGUGUUAUGAGCCUGCCAUGCAACCACAAGAUGACUUCCCCCGAAUGUCCACUCUGCAAGCAUGUUGAAACAUCUGAACGUCCGCUACAACAGGUCAUCUUGAACCUCACAUUUGCAAACCUGCACUUGUGAAUAUGUUACCACGCAUCUCGUGAAGGGGUGCUCUGAUUGACCACAAUUAUUGGUUUUCUACUCUUCAAUAAGAUUGAAUUUGAAACACUA